rnacentral:rRNA from 1 species
AACGAACGCUGGCGGCAUGCCUAACACAUGCAAGUCGAACGAAGCCUUCGGGCUUAGUGGCGCACGGGUGCGUAACGCGUGGGAAUCUGCCCUUGGGUCUGGAAUAACAGUUAGAAAUGACUGCUAAUACCGGAUGAUGACUUCGGUCCAAAGAUUUAUCGCCCAAGGAUGAGCCCGCGUCGGAUUAGCUAGUUGGUGAGGUAAAAGCUCACCAAGGCGACGAUCCGUAGCUGGUCUGAGAGGAUGAUCAGCCACACUGGGACUGAGACACGGCCCAGACUCCUACGGGAGGCAGCAGUGGGGAAUAUUGGACAAUGGGCGAAAGCCUGAUCCAGCAAUGCCGCGUGAGUGAUGAAGGCCUUAGGGUUGUAAAGCUCUUUUACCCGGGAUGAUAAUGACAGUACCGGGAGAAUAAGCCCCGGCUAACUCCGUGCCAGCCGCCGCAGUAAAAC